GUGUAUGUUUAAUGAUAUCAGUGCAUUGGUGCCUAAAGUGCAACAUUUGCAUAAAGCAAAACAAAUUAUAUUGACCCUUGUUGAUAGUAUUAAUGAACUUGAAAAUGAUCCAGCUGAGGUACACUAUUAAAAAUUAAAAAUAUAAAAAACUGCGAGUUACUGUGGUUAAGUACAAGUUAUGAACAAAAUGCAAAAAAAUCAGAAUCAAAUAAUGUGACAGCCCUUGUCUGCUUUUCUGACCUCUCCAGAUGACUGCCCACAACCACCUCCUUCAGCUCCACGAUGUUGGGAUGUCUGAGCCGUAGCAACAGGGUGAUUUCUCUCAGGCUGCUGAUGGGGAUGCCUGACCAAGACAAAAACAUCAUCAGAGACUCAAAGCGCUUCACAUAGUGAGACCCAUUUCCUACAUCUUUUAAGCUCCCUUUAAACCACUGUGGGUGGCACUGGGAGCAGCGCUCACAGAGAAGUGGGAACUCAUCAUUCAUUCACACCUGGUGGUGGUAAGCUACAUCAGCCACAGUUGCCCUGGGGUAGACUGACGAACACAAUGGCAGUCACUAGGAUGACGGAAACGGGAAUCGAACCUGCAACCCUCAAGCUGCUGGCGCGGUCGCUCUACAAACCGAGCCACACCUCUCAAAUUUAAUGCCCAUUUUUAAUUGCAUAUUGUUAUUGUUUACACACUACUGUAAGCUUUUGAAAAAGAUAAUGUUGAAUAGUUGAAAAGUUUACAUUAACUUUUAUCUAGCUAAUUAGAAUUGGCUCUCAAGACUGUUUGACCUGAGAAUGUAUUUUUAUCUAUUUACUUUUCUGUAGUAGCAUCCGGUGUUCUGACUUCAAGCACCUGCCGUAGACAAUAGCCAAUUUCAAAGGUUUUGCCAGUCAAUCAAACUGUACAUUCAAUCAAAAUGAUUAAAAGGAACUGCACUCAUACCCUCUGAAUAAACAUCCAAUUCUAAAUUAUUUGAUCAAUAUAAUAUACCCUUAAGUCAUUUUUUGAAUGUGAUCUCUUUAAAAAAAAAUUAAGAAAUGCAUAUCCUCUGAAAGUAUGACUUAUAGCCACAAACUGGAGGAUUUUUUUUUUUAAUCAAGAUAAAAUUUAAAAAUAUAUUUGUAAGGUUUUAUGGAAUAAUAAAAUAACAUCACACUAGGAAUGCAAAUAAUGCAUGUGUUUAAUUUUUUUUAGAAAUAGACAUGUCAUUAAAUAUUUGGAAAAAGCGCUUUUCUUGCUUCCUCUUGGAUCCACUUUGAAAGCCAGAGCCGAAGAAAAGAAAAGGGACAGACGUAGCCAUUUAUCAACGUUAUUAAGUUCAUUUUCAUUCAUUGUUUGAUUGAUUGACGUAUUGACUAUUGGCCAAGUCCUACAAUUGUAUUACAAAAUGUUUGCGGAUGACUCGGCCUUGCUGGUAUCCGGAAAGGAAAAAAUCCUCAGUGCUAGUAUUUGCACCUGACUCGCUGACAAUAAACUUUCCAUACACUUAGAUAAAACGGAAUCCAUCCUAUUUGGGUCCCAAAUCAACCUUAAGAAAGUCAGUGACUUCACUAUUAAAGUGGGCGACAUUGUUAUCACCAGGAAAGAUGAGGUCACCUACCUAGGUUCCAUACUAGAGGCUAAUCUUUCCUGUGAUAAAAUGGCAACCAAGGUAAUCAAAAAGGUCAACCAACAAGCGAGAUUUCUCUACAGAAUCUCCUUUCUGGUCAACAAAAGCACCUUGAAGAUUCUAGCGGGAACUCUCAACCCUUUUUCGAUUACGCUUGCACCUCCUGGUACCCCAGCACGUCCAAAACCCUCAAAUCUAGACUCGAAAAAUCCCAGCACAAGCUAGUCAGGUUACUUCUAGACCUCCACCCCAGAUCCCACCUCACUCCAACCCACUUCUCCAAAGUGGGCUGGCUCAGGGUGAAGGACAGAGUAAAACAACUUGCACUGAGCCUAGUCUAUAAAAUCCGCUACACCUCCCUGAUACCGAAGUACAUGUCAAACUACUUCCUUAAUGCAAAUGACCGCCAUAACCACAACACCAGGGGGAGCUCCACAAACCACGUUAAACCCAGAUUCCGAUCUAACAAAGGUCUUAACUCAUUCUCUUUCUAUGCCACAUCAAUAUGGAAUGCACUCCCAACAGGUGUUGAAGAAAGUACAUUAUAACAAUAAUAAUGGAUUAGAUUUAUAUCGCGCUUUUCUAUUGUUAGAUACUCAAAGCGCUCACAGAGAAGUUGGAACCCAUCAUUCAUUCACACCUGGUGGUGGUAAGCGACAUCUGUACCCACAGCUGCCCUAGAGUAGACUGACGGAAGCGUGGCUGCCAGUUUGCGCCUACGGCCCUUCCGACCACCACCAAUCAUUCAUUCAUCAUUCAUUCACCAGUGUGAGUGGCACCGGGGGCAAGGGUGAAGUGUCCUGCCCAAGGACACAACGGCAACGAUUUGGAUGUCAAUAGGUGGGAAGCGAACCUGCAACCCUCAGGUUUCUGUCACGGCCGCUCUACCCACUACGCCAUGCCGCCCCUAAAUCAUCUCUGUCCUCCUUCAAAACCACACUAAAAGAACACCUCCAGGCAACUUCAACUUUUAACUAACACCCUCCCUCCUCCACAUACCACCUCCCCGGAUUGUAAAUAAUCAAAUGUAAAUAAUCAAAUGUAUAUAAUUGUUCUUAUUAGGGGUGUGGGAAAAAAUGGAUUCGAAUACGAAUCGAAUCAUUUACGUUGUGCGAUUCGGAAUCUAUUCUCAUUUUUUAAAAAUCGUUUUUUUUUUUUAAUUAAAUUUUUUUUUUUUUUUAAUCAAUCCAACAAACCAUUACACAUAAAUACCAUAAUAAUGCAAUCCAAUUCCAAAUCCAAACCUGACCCAGCAACACUCAGAACUGCAAUAAACAGCAGGAGAGGAGACAAACACGACACAGAACAAACCAAAAGUAGUGAAACAAAAAUGAUUAUAU